rnacentral:rRNA from 1 species
UACAGGGGGGGCAAGCGUUGUUCGGAAUUACUGGGCGUAAAGGGCCAGUAGGCGGCCAACUAAGUCACACGUGAAAUCCCCAGCUUAACCUGGGAACUGCGUGUGAUACUGGAUGGCUUGAAUUCGGGAGAGGGAUGCAGAAUUCCAGGUGAGUAGCGGUGAAAUGCGUAGAGAGUCGGGAGGAACACCAGUGGCGAAGGCGGCUACCUGGACCAGCACUGACACUGAGGCACGAAAGCG